UUAAGGAGUGUGUUGCUGUAAAUAUGGACGUAAAUCAAUAUGUAGGCUUUAGGUGGAUGACUGGAUGUGCAGGAACGGCAUCUCCAUAAAGAAACCUAUGGAUAUGA